UUACAAAGCGGUGUUAGAGCACAAAGAAUUUUGAUUUCUUAAGAGAGGGCUACACCCUCCUGGUAAG
rnacentral:tRNA from 1 species